rnacentral:lncRNA from 1 species
UUUCAUUUCUCAUUUCCUUUUGAGUUCCUAUUCAUCGUCAUUAUCGCUACGAUGCUUCGCCAUUACCGUCGGUGGUACUCUUGGUUCUAUUGGUCAUUGUUGUCGACGAUUCUCUACAAUAUUCUCACUGGUCGUUGCUUCUCCUUGUCAAGUUAGUUCCUCUAUAUAUUAGCAAACAACUAUUAUUGGUUUGUUUCUUUUGCUUCAUUUUUUGUUUGUUGCAUUUUGCCUUCAAUUUUUGCAUUUUUUAGUAUACUUGAUUAUGGUUGAUGUUGUGUGUGUAGAGAUUAUAGCAUGUAUAGGUUAGAUUUUUGAUGCCAGAAUCUUCCUUAGGUUUCUAGUAGAGAACUUUUGGGUGGUUUUUUAGAUAACUUGCCCAACAAGUCUCUAUGGGUUGUAGUUCGUCUAAGUUAUAUGACUUUCUAUUAUGGGGAAAUGCCUCCCUAAUAAUUUGUUCGGCUAGUAUGUCCUUGUGUUGAUCAGUUUGCGCUUUUGCUGCAUAGGUGUCAUGGACAGAAGAGGGGUUGCUUUCAUAAGUGGAAAGUCAUAACAUGGUGGGACAAAAGCUUCUAGAUCUGAGUGCUCUAGGAUGGAUAGCCCUGUGGAUGAGUUGUCCAAACAUAAGUUUCGGGCUCAUUUUCAUAUCCCCGACUCCAUCUAUAUCCAAUUGUCAAACGAAGAGGCUUUGUCGACAGACGAGCUUCCCCAUAAUAUGAUUUAUUUCAUGAAGGAACAAUUCGUAGUUGGUCUUUGUCUUCCAAUUCCAUAUCUCCUUAAACAAUUCUUGCAUUUUUUUUUGAAAUUUUGCCUACUUUUAUCCAUCCAAACUUCAUUUAGAUCCUCAUGGGGUGCAACGUCUUGGAUACAUUGUACCAAUUGGAUCUUUCACUCUUAGAGAUCCUUUUUGUCUACACCAUCAAAAUGAGCCUCAAGGAGUAGUUUAACUUAUUGGCUCACACCUUGUCUCUCUAGAUUACACGACCAACAAAAAAAGUCCGACUAGCAUCCUUGUGAUGUAGACGGUGAUUAUGCCCUCAUAAAGGAAUGUUUGGAUGGGUUUUCCGGGCACACCCCUUCAAAGCUUAAGUCAAAGAUGGAAGACUUGAGUAAGAUAGGUUUUUAGGAAAAAUGACAACAUACUUCCCUUAUGAUGGAUAAUGACUAUUUAUCCUUACCUAAAUGUAAUGUUUUCUCAAGUGCCUUAAUUGUACUUUGAUUGCGCGUUACCGUUUAAUGCUAAUGAUUGUUGGCUCAUAACAACUAUUGUGCCUUGAAGUUUGGCAUUUCAUUUUUAUAAUGGUUGUGUUAAUCAAUGCAUUGAAUGCUGGUUGCAGUUGAUGCUUGGCAAUCGACAAUCCAUAGUGUUAGGUUGUUUUGUGUCCGUUUAUACCUUGGUGUAGAUGGAUAAUGCUACAUGGAUCUUGUGCUACACAUGCUUUGUGCUAAACGACGCUUGGGGCUUAUGAUAGGUGGUGAUGAACGUCCCACAAUCGCUGCAACCAAGGUUAAUAGUUUGUAUUCUAAAUUUGAGUAUGUGUCCUUUAUUUUCACAUUCCCUUCAGGCCAUGAUUUGGACAGUGGAACAGAUGAUUAAAAGGAUAUUUUGUUUUUGUUGCUAUUUAUUUUUGAGGAACAAAUUUGGUGAUUUCAAUUUUUAUAUUUGAAUUUUGUAAAUGAAUUUAAUGAUUCUAGUUUUUGUAUUUGGCUGCAUCUAGGAAUGUUAGAUUAAAAUGAUUAUUUAUUUUCUUUUAAAUAUUAAUAACAGUGAGAAUGACAAAGAG